AUUGAACGCUGGCGGCAGGCCUAACACAUGCAAGUCGAGCGAGUGGCGGACGGGUGAGUAAUGUAUGGGGAACUGCCCGAUGGAGGGGGAUAACUACUGGAAACGGUAGCUAAUACCGCAUACCAUCGGAUGUGCCCAUAUGGGAUUAGCUAGUAGGUGGGGUAACGGCUCACCUAGGCGACGAUCUCUAGCUGGUCUGAGAGGAUGAUCAGCCACACUGGAACUGAGACACGGCCCAGACUCCUACGGGAGGCAGCAGUGGGGAAUAUUGCACAAUGGGCGCAAGCCUGAUGCAGCCAUGCCGCGUGUAUGAAGAAGGCCUUAGGGUUGUAAAGUACUUUCAGCGGGGAGGCGUUACCCGCAGAAGAAGCACCGGCUAACUCCGUGCCAGCAGCCGCGGUAAUAC
rnacentral:rRNA from 1 species